GUGGGGGACUGCGUUCGCGCUCUCCCCUG
rnacentral:piRNA from 8 species